rnacentral:lncRNA from 10 species
AAAAAAAAAGCCCUUAGUAACCAUUAGCCUCUCCUCCCACUCCACUCCUCCCAUGUCACUCCCCCUUCCAUUACACAGUUCACAAUAGCACUGUCCAGUGCUCUGUGAGGAAGCCCAGCACACUUUGUUGCAGAUAUCAGCUGGAUGAGCAGAGAGAGCAGGUCUGCAGGAAAACACCAGCCUCACACCUGUCAGCUCUUGGCCAGUUGCUCUCCGGGAAGGAUGAGAAGACAGCUG